CAGUCUCUCAGCCAAUGGCAUUACAUCUGAAGGUGGGAAGUGUCUGGCAGAGGCGCUGAAAGAGAACAGCGUCCUCAGGAUAUUCUGGUUGGUGCAGAAUGAGUUAACUGAUGAUGCAGCUCCACAUUUGGCUGAGCUGGUCCAAGCGAACACAGGUUUACUCCAUCUCUGGUUAAUCAGCAACCAGUUCACUGUGGAGGGGAUCAGAAAGUUUGCUGAGGCUCUAACUCACAACACAAAGCUCCAAGAGAUAUGGUGA